UCUCCGAUGCCCAGAUGAUGCAGACAGCCCUA
rnacentral:piRNA from 1 species